AUUGAACGCUGGCGGCAGGCUUAACACAUGCAAGUCGAACGAGUGGCAGACGGGUGAGUAAUGCUUGGGAAUCUCGCUUGUGGAGGGGGAUAACUACGGGACACUGUCGCUAAUACCGCGUACCAUAGGAUGAGCCCAAGUGGGAUUAGGUAGUUGGUGAGGUAAAGGCUCACCAGGCCGACGAUCUCUAGCUGGUCUGAGAGGAUGACCGGCCACACUGGGACUGAGACACGGCCCAGACUCCUACGGGAGGCAGCAGUGGGGAAUAUUGCGCAAUGGGGGAAAGCUGACGGAGCCAUGCCGCGUGAAUGAAGAAGGCCUUCGGGUUGUAAAGCUCUGUCGGUAGCGAGGCGUUAACUACAGAAGAAGCACCGGCUAACUCCGUGCCAGCAACCGCGGUAAUAC
rnacentral:rRNA from 1 species